GACCAUGAGGGGCCUGUUUUGCAAAUAACCCUGCAUGUAAGUGGGCUGCUUUGAACAUGUGCCUCCUACUUGCUCUGCUACUCCCUACACCUCCAACCUGUGUUUCUCUGGCAAGAAAAUAAGUAGCUCCGAUUUGGAUAAUAAGCCUGUAUUUGUCAUGGGACUAGUUCCUUGAGUUCUCUGACACCAAGAAACUGGAGAAAGUCCUGACAACAUCGGAGCCAACUCAGCAGCAUCAUAUGGUCUCCUGGUGACUCAGACUGGACCAAUGCCCUGACCUCUUAUCCCAGCUAUAGCAACUUAUGUAAAGCUUGGAAAACUUCUCUCUGUGGGAGCAGUCCGCAUGGGCUCCGAUCAAUAGCAGGACUUGCAGCAGAGCACGAGCAAGGAUAUCUACUGGAAAGGUGAGCUGUGGUCACAAAGCUACUGUAUGAAGAUUUCUCAGGAUUAAGACUCAGUUUUAAUUUAGAGUAAUUUUUAUUACCCCCCAGCU
rnacentral:lncRNA from 1 species